GCCGUGCAUGUAAUCGUUGCGGUUCUACGCGCGUUUCGCCCCGAUGUAGAUAUCGCGUGUUUAUUGUGUUGGUAAUUUACGAGAGAUUUUCGUUUUAUUACAUUUAUUUUAGUGUUUUAUUAUUAUUAUUUUUCAUGAAAGGAGACAUCCAACUCGCUUUUACUCUUCGUGGUGUUGUGCGGUAAUCAUAGUAUUUAUUUUGUUGGUUGGCAAAUAAAAAAUUUUCCGGAAAAUUGUAAAACGAUCGUAAUCGAACUGAUAUCCUGAUAUUUUAAAAUCCAAAGCAAAGUGAAUUUCUGAUUGCAGACCGACCGAUUAAGAAAUGCGUUAUGAUAUUUGAAUAACAAAAUAUGUUUAUUCGAACACCGAGUUAUAUUGAUGAACAAUAAUUAGAUCAAUCGUCAGUUCAUAAUAUUUGAAUCCAUGAGAUGCUCGGUCGACGUCGCCGGUCCGGCCUCGUCGUCGACAGAACCUCCGCCUACGCCCACAUCGCCCAUCGCCGCCGUCGUUACUGACGUCGUUACAUCGGGUCGCGGCGAGUGACGGCCGAAUCGGGUAAGGCGGCGGCGGUGGCGGCGGCGGCGACUGCUGCUGCUGCAU